UAUUUGGGGGAUUUUUCUAUGUUUUCUGUGUUUAAUUCGUGUUAAAUAUCAUCUUUUGGAUAUGAAUUAUGGUCUUAUAUGAAUUUUGAUGGUAUUUGAUAGGUUUUGGAAAAAAGGAUUGCUUUUGAGAAGAGAUUUGAAAUGCAUGGAUUGAAGGCUAAAUGGACGAGAUUUAGAGAGCUGCUACUUUGAUUUUGCAUGCAUGGGCUAUACUUUAGCUUAUUGCUAAUGGGCUUAUACGCCACUUUUAGUUUAGAUUAGUUUAGGUGUUUAGUUUUGUUUAAUUAAGUAGGCCCAUGCGCCAUUUUAGUGGCCUUGAUUAGAUUAGGUUUGCUUUUGAGUUAUGGCAAUAUGCGCCACUUUUUAAAUAGUAGAAUUAGGUUUAUUUCCUUAUCAUAUAUAUAUGAUAAGUUAGCUGCAACUUUGGAGAAUAACACAAAUCAGACGGCACCUUGGAGAGCAGAAUUCUGGACGCAAGUUUUGGAGCAAUUCAAACUUUAAUUAGAGAAAUUCUCGCCAGUCCUUUGGGAGACGAUUUUGCUUACUGCUGUCUGCGCAGUGUGGGCAUACCGGCUGACUGCCGGAUAUAUUUGGUGUAAAACGACGCACCA